rnacentral:rRNA from 1 species
CCGCGUGGAGGAUGAAGGCUUCGGGUUGUAACUCCUUUUCUUGGGAAAGAUAAUGACGGUACCCAAGGAAUAAGCCACGGCUAACUCUGUGCCAGCAGCCGCGGUAAGACAGAGGUGGCGAGCGUUGUUCGGAAUUACUGGGCUUAAAGGGCGAGUAGGCGGUGGAGCAAGUCUGAGGUGGAAUCUUAGGGCUUAACCCUAAAACUGCCUUAGAAACUGUUUUACUUGAGUCAGUGAGGGGAGGGCGGAAUUCCUGGUGUAGCGGUGAAAUGCGUAGAUAUCAGGAGGAAGGCCUGUGGCGAAGCGGCCCUCUGGCACUGUACUGACGCUGAGCGCGAAACGUGGGUAGCAAACAGGAUUAGAUACCCUGGUAGUCCACGCCCUAAACGGUGGGCAUUAGUGUAGGGCUCGU